rnacentral:rRNA from 1 species
GACGAACGCUGGCGGCGUGCUUAACACAUGCAAGUCGAACGGAAAGGCCCUGCUUUUGUGGGCGGCUCGAGUGGCGAACGGGUGAGUAACAAGUGAGUAACCUGCCCUUGACUUUGGGAUAACUUCAGGAAACUGGGGCUAAUACCUGACAGGAGCUCCUGCUGCAUGGUGGGGGUUGGAAAGGUUCGGCGGGUGGGGAUGGACUCGCGGCUUAUCAGCUUGUUGGUGGGGUAGUGGCUUACCAAGGCUUUGACGGGUAGCCGGCCUGAGAGGGUGACCGGCCACAUUGGGACUGCGCUACGGCACAGCCUACUACGGGAGGCAGCAGUGGAGAAUAGUGCACGAUGGACGGAAGCCUGCUGCAGUAACGCCGCGUGCGGGAUGACGACCUUCGGGUUGUAAACCGCUUUCGCCUCUGACGAAGCGUGAGUGACGGUAAUGGGUAAAGAAGCACCGGCUAACUACGUG